rnacentral:rRNA from 1 species
CGCGUUCCCAUACCGAACACGACCGUUAAGCCCUCCAGCGCCAAUGGUACUUGGACCGCAGGGUCCUGGGAGAGUAGGACGUCGCCAAGC